rnacentral:sRNA from 1 species
CGCGGGGCAGCAGAAGCGAGAGCCGAGCGCGGACCCAGCCAGGACCCACAGCCCUCCCCAGCUGCCCAGGAAGAGCCCCAGCCAUGGAACACCAGCUCCUGUGCUGCGAAGUGGAAACCAUCCGCCGCGCGUACCCCGAUGCCAACCUCCUCAACGACCGGGUGCUGCGGGCCAUGCUGAAGGCGGAGGAGACCUGCGCGCCCUCGGUGUCCUACUUCAAAUGUGUGCAGAAGGAGGUCCUGCCGUCCAUGCGGAAGAUCGUCGCCACCUGGAUGCUGGAGGUCUGCGAGGAACAGAAGUGCGAGGAGGAGGUCUUCCCGCUGGCCAUGAACUACCUGGACCGCUUCCUGUCGCUGGAGCCCGUGAAAAAGAGCCGCCUGCAGCUGCUGGGGGCCACUUGCAUGUUCGUGGCCUCUAAGAUGAAGGAGACCAUCCCCCUGACGGCCGAAAAGCUGUGCAUCUACACCGACAACUCCAUCCGGCCCGAGGAGCUGCUGGUAACCACUGGACCCCGCCGCCCCCCGCCCCCCGCGAGCCGCACGCAGGGCCGGGGAAGGUGC